AUUGGAAUCAACAGUGAAAACAUUAAAGAGAAAAGGCCUUAAAAUGGAGCCCCACAGAAUCCCACUGGUGACAAGUAAGAGCAACUGUCAGGCCACAGACUCCCCUUUCUCAACACAGCCAUGUUUUGGUUGUCAGAGGACAUACUUAGGGUCACAUAACCAGUGCCUUAGUAUGUCAUGAGGCACCUCCCUACCAAACUGCUGUGUUCCUUUGGUAGAAUCCACAUCAGUUGUGACACCAGCCAGCCAACAAAGGCAGGCAGGGGCUGCAGCACCAGUCAGCCAGCACGGGCAGGGACCAUGACACUAGCCAACACUACCAAGGCAAGGCAAGGGCUGUGAUUCCAGUGAGCCAGCCCUGCCAAGGCAAGCCAAGACAGGCAGGGGCUGCGACACCAGCCAAGGGAAGGUGAACUUCACCAUAAGAAGACAAUAUGCAAACAAUGGGUGGAGUAUGUACGUAGCCAAACUGGUACAAAUUCCUUCAACAUGAGACAAAAAAAAAAAAAAAAAAAAAAAAGAAAAAACCACCAUAUGUAAGACUGUACUGCCUGAAUUGGAAGCACACUGACUUCAAUAUAUGUGCCAAAGUGCUAGAUAUUGAACUGUUACCCUAUCUGAGAACCAGAAAUUUGAACUGUGUGGGAAGAUUUGGGAUGCCACAUGAAACAGCAGGCACCUCCAGCACUAUCCCUUGGCAUUACACAAUUGAAAAGAGAAAGCUCCCUUUAGGAACCGGAAGAGGAAACAUUAGCAUCCUUACCAGAGGAAAAGAUUAUAGUCACCUGAUCAUUAAACAGCCUGCCAAAUGAAGUUACAGAGUCAUUGCUGCUUAAAACACAACACCCAUCAGAAAAGCCAGAAGUAAUAAAUGUCUUGCCAAACUAGUUACA
rnacentral:lncRNA from 1 species